AUGGACGGUCAUAGUGACGUGGUCCUACCCGAUCCCAUUUCGAACUCGGAAGUCAAGCGCGUUCACGUUCCAAGUGGUACUGCACUUUGUGUGGGAACCUUGGAUCGCUGUCCACU
rnacentral:rRNA from 1 species